rnacentral:misc_RNA from 1 species
CUCAGUGCUCAGUGCUCACUGAAACAUACCUAAGUGUAGUGAAACCAACAUUCUAGAGCUUCUUACAUCAAGGUGAAACUGAACAUUCAGAGAUAUCAAGGGGAAGUAAUGAAGUGUACAGCCGAAGCAGUGUACAUGGCAUUUCUCCUCUCAGCUUUCUGUUCCGUUCUUUGUAUUGUACAUGGCAUUUCUGGUUUCUUGUAAUGAGUAAUGACUACGCAGUUAACGCCCUGUACCUAAUAUUCUUUAUCAGUGCAAUAGCAUGCAGACGCAACUCUCCAGCAAGUUCGGGAAAAAAAUACUUGUUCUGGUUAUGUGUUACUGGUUAGAGUGGAGAACAAAGCCACAUCAACAACUAGGUCUGAAAAAUGGAAAUAACAAAAUCUAGAAAAACAAAACAAUGUUGGACCUUAAUGUAUUUAGUUUUACUCCACUCUAAUGCAUUUUUUCCAUCAACUGAAUUAAGAAAGCAGUUAAGUAAAUGUAACCCGAUCAUCAGUUCUGACGUGUCGCAAGCAAAAUUCCAAAGAGCUAGCUCAGAAAUAAAGACAGCUAAACCAGGGACAGCAGAAACUGUGACAUACAUUUAUCAUACACAGAAACUGUAUAUGUAUGAUACUGUUGGUUCUGGCAAAAAAUACUACAAAAAAGACAGAAAAUUAUGUUACCUUUUUGCUUGUUUCUUGCAGCU